rnacentral:tRNA from 1 species
GGGCGAGUGGUGGAAUUGGUAGACACGUCAGACUCAAAAUCUGAUGGACAUUAGUCCGUGGGGGUUCAAGUCCCCCCUUGCCCACCA